CCUACGGGAGGCAGCAGUGAGGAAUAUUGGUCAAUGGGCGCGAGCCUGAACCAGCCAAGUCGCGUGAGGGAAGACGGCCCUAUGGAUUGUAAACUUCUUUUGUCCGGGGAUAAAAUGCGCCACGUGUGGUGUUUUGUAGGUACCGCAUGAAUAAGCAUCGGCUAAUUCCGUGCCAGCAGCCGCGGUAAUACGGAGGAUACGAGCGUUAUCCGGAUUUAUUGGGUUUAAAGGGUGCGUAGGCGGAAGGUUAAGUUUGCGGUAAAAUUGAGGGGCUCAACCUCUUCGAGCCGUGGAAACUGGUUUGCGUGAGUGAGCGAGAAGUAUGCGGAAUGCGUGGUGUAGCGGUGAAAUGCAUAGAUAUCACGCAGAACUCCGAUUGCGAAGGCAGCAUACCGGCGCUCAACUGACGCUCAAGCACGAAGGUGUGGGUAUCGAACAGGAUUAGAUACCCGGGUAGUC
rnacentral:rRNA from 1 species